rnacentral:rRNA from 1 species
UUUUUUAGUGUCUAUUUAUUUUCGAUUGGUAUCUAUGGAUUGAUCACAAGCCGAAACAUGGUUAGAGCUCUAAUAUGUCUUGAACUUAUACUGAAUUCAAUUAAUCUAAAUCUUGUAACAUUUUCUGAUCUAUUUGAUAGUUGCCAAUUAAAAGGAGAUAUUUUCGCGAUUUUUGUUAUAGCCCUUGCGGCUGCUGAAGCCGCUAUUCGACUAUCCAUUCUUUCUUCCAUCCAUCGUAAUAGGAAAUCCACUUGUAUCAAUCAACCUAAUUUAUUGAAUAAUUAUACUUUUGAAUAA